AGUGAACGCUGGCGGUAGGCCUAACACAUGCAAGUCGAACGGCAGCACAGUAAGAGCUUGCUCUUACGGGUGGCGGGUGGCAGACGGGUGAGGAAUACAUCGGAAUCUACUUUUUCGUGGGGGAUAACGUAGGGAAACUUACGCUAAUACCGCAUACGACCUACGGGUGAAAGCAGGGGAUCUUCGGACCUUGCGCGAUUGAAUGAGCCGAUGUCGGAUUAGCUAGUUGGCGGGGUAAAGGCCCACCAAGGCGACGAUCCGUAGCUGGUCUGAGAGGAUGAUCAGCCACACUGGAACUGAGACACGGUCCAGACUCCUACGGGAGGCAGCAGUGGGGAAUAUUGGACAAUGGGCGCAAGCCUGAUCCAGCCAUACCGCGUGGGUGAAGAAGGCCUUCGGGUUGUAAAGCCCUUUUGUUGGGAAAGAAAAGCAGCAGGUUAAUACCCCGCUGUUCUGACGGUACCCAAAGAAUAAGCACCGGCUAACUUCGUG
rnacentral:rRNA from 1 species